AAAAAAGCAGGAUCUGUUGCCUUUGUGAGCAGUUCACUCGUAAACUUCAGGGACAUAGUCACCAUUGUUAUUGGGUGAACCUGUGUGUAUUUUGUCAUUGAAGGUUCAGUAAAUGAUGGAACAUGU